rnacentral:rRNA from 1 species
UCUGGUUGAUCCUGCCAGAGGUUACUGCUAUCGAGGUUCGACUAAGCCAUGCGAGUCGAAUGUAGCAAUACAUGGCGUACUGCUCAGUAACACGUGGACAACCUACCCUCCGGACGGGGAUAAACCCGGGAAACUGGGUAUAAUACCCGAUAGAUCUCGACUGCUGGAAUGCAUCGAGAUCGAAAGCUCCGGCGCCAGAGGAUGGGUCUGCGGCCUAUCAGGUAGUAGUGGGUGUAGCGUACCUACUAGCCUACGACGGGUACGGGUUGUGAGAGCAAGAGCCCGGAGAUGGAUUCUGAGACACGAAUCCAGGCCCUACGGGGUGCAGCAGGCGCGAAAACUUUACAAUGCCGGCAACGGCGAUAAGGGGACCUCGAGUGCCAGGUUACAAAUCUGGCUGUCGUGAUGCCUAAAAAGCAUUGCAUAGCAAGGGCCGGGCAAGACCGGUGCCAGCCGCCGCGGUAACACCGGCGGCUCGAGUGGUAACCGUUAUUAUUGGGUCUAAAGGGUCUGUAGCCGGCCGGAUAAGUCUCUUGGGAAAUCCAGCAGCUCAACUGUUGGGCUUUCAGGAGAUACUGUCUGGCUCGAGGCCGGGAGAGGUGAGAGGUACUUCAGGGGUAGGGGUGAAAUCUUGUAAUCCUUGAAGGACCACCAGUGGCGAAGGCGUCUCACCAGAACGGACCUGACGGCAAGGGACGAAAGCUAGGGGCACGAACCGGAUUAGAUACCCGGGUAGUCCUAGCCGUAAACGAUACUCGCUAGGUGUCGGCCACGGUGCGACCGUUGUCGGUGCCGUAGGGAAGCCGUGAAGCGAGCCACCUGGGAAGUACGGCCGCAAGGCUGAAACUUAAAGGAAUUGGCGGGGGAGCACCACAACGGGUGGAGCUUGCGGUUUAAUUGGAUUCAACGCCGGAAAUCUUACCGGGACCGACAGCAAUAUGAAGGCCAGGCUGAAGACUUUGCCGGAUUAGCUGAGAGGUGGUGCAUGGCCGUCGUCAGUUCGUACUGUGAAGCAUCCUGUUAAGUCAGGCAACGAGCGAGACCCACGCCCACAGUUGCCAGCGUACUCUCCGGAGUGACGGGUACACUGUGGGGACCGCCGCUGCUAAAGCGGAGGAAGGAAAGGGCAACGGUAGGUCAGUAUGCCCCGAAUAUCCCGGGCUACACGCGAGCUACAAUGGUUGGUACAAUGGGUAUCUACCCCG